UAAAACACACCAACACAAAAACAAUUCUUUUGUGUGUUAUAUCCGAGAGAGAAUUUUGUGAGUUACUCACAAUUUGGUGAGUGGUAGUUAGUGUCCAAAAUUUAGAGUGUAUAUUGUACAAGAGUGUUUGUGAGGUUUCUUUGGGUACAAUAUUUGUCCCAAAGGGUGUUCUUGUAUCGUCUCUAUUUUUAGUGUUUCUCAAGUUGGUCACUUGAGAUUUUGGUGUACCAUUAUUUUUUAUAGUGGAUAUUUCUCGGAGUUUGGCCCGUGGUUUUCCCUCUAAAUUUGGGAGGUUUUUCCACGUAAAUUUUGGUGUUCCGAUUGCUUGUGUUAUUUUUUAUAUUGUUCAACGACCCAGUAAAGUGGGAAUUAAUAUUUUAUUCCCAACAAGUGGUAUCAGAGCCAGGUUCAUCCGUUACUGGGUUACUGUUCACGAGACUGAUUUCUAU
rnacentral:lncRNA from 1 species